CAGUCUACUUUUUAUUGAUGACAUUCCUAAUAUUAAAAUUUUAUUAAAUAUAAUAUAAGUAAAUGAAAACAUUUCAGUUAAUAUACUUUGUAUUAUGCAUGUUAAUUGAACAUAUCAGAAACAUUUUAUUUUAUCUUCUAAGUUUCAAAGUCAAGUUAAAUAAACCUAUAUUACUUACCUUACAUCUAAUUUCUGUGUAUGAAUAUUGAUAUAACUAUUACAAUCUUAGUGAAUUCAUAUCUUUUCUACAAAUACUCGAGAUAAAUCUAUCAGUCAAUCAUAUAGAUAUUAUUGAGAGUAGAGUUCAGAAUAAAAUAAUGGUCAUUCCAGACUUACAUUUUGCUCAAAUGAAGCAGCUAUAAUACCAUUUCCCAAUAUUUAUGAAAAUUACAGCAAAGUUUGUUUACAGUGUUAUAAAAUCAAAAUUUAAUCAAACCAAUACUUUCUUCAAGGUAAAACAUGUUGAGCUAUGAAUAAGAGGUCACACAUGCAUGCACACACACAGAAACAGACACACAGAAACACACAUAUGUACAUAUACAGAGAGACAUAUAAUGAUACUUAUUGAUUAAAUAUUAAGAAUGUAGAAGGCUGCAUAUGAAUGAGUUAAAGAAAGGAAAGGAGAGGAACAUUCAAGUUGAACAAGGUAUAGUUUAAAGUCAAGUGGGUGCAAACAAAUGAUGAGUGUGGUGAAUAAGAAUUAUCUGCAUGUCUGCAGUUCUAAUAGUUUGUAAAAAGAUCAAGCUUCCUAAGGGACACAGUUAAACAGUGCUUCAUGAGCACAAUUAUUAAAGUUUAUAUUCCUCCAGGCACAAAGGAAAGCACUGGGAGCGUUAUUCACCUACAGAACAGACCCAAGAGAGCCACAUAGAUGCAGAGAGCAACUAGAUAAUAGGCUUUAGCAGAAAUUCAGGUGGCUUGGAAAGCAAAAUUAUUUCACAGCCAUAAAGACCUUUCAGGAAAAUUACUGCCUUAUUAUGCUUCAUUCACAUGCUGGACUUGCUUUAGCUUUGCAUUCAUGAAGAUUUGAACCCAUUAAGUUCAAUGACAAAAUGACAACCUGUAAUAUCCCACCUCUCAGACUUUGUCUCUUUGUAAAUCCUUUCAAAAUUCUCAAUGUUUGUUUAUAAAACCAUCUAAAAAUUAAAAAUAGCUUGUGCUUUAUGUGUAGACAUGGGACAAAUAAAAAACAGAAUUAUCAGUG